UUACACUAUAUAUAUAUAUAUAUAUAUAUAUAUAUAUAAAUUAAAUUUAUACUAUAAAUGAAAUAUAGUUAAAUGUGUUUAAUCAGAAAUGUCUCUAUUUCCCUUUGCAGUGUGACCGGCCCGUUUUACCUGAUCACUGCUAUCUCAAAAAAUGUGGCGCCGCUAAUGUUUCAAAACCUGUAGGGCCUGAACACUUAUAUUUUAUUAGAACAAUUCAACACAAAAAUAUUAAAAACAGUCCUUAUUAAUCAUAAGAACACGGUUAAAUGUCAUACAUGUUUUUUUUGUUUUUUUUUGUGUCCCAAGCGAUUAAUCAAAAAGUGUCUCAAUUUGCCUGAUAUCAUCAACAAUUUUCAUCACCCCUCUUAUUUUGUUUAAAUUAUUAUUUCAUUCAUAGACUAAAUAUGCUGUAACUGACUUCAUAGCCUGCCCAUAAACAAACAGUGAUCAGCUCUGAGGACAUCUUUUAGCAUCUGAGGUGUCUGUGAAGGUGUUGCAGUUACUUUCCCAGAAUCAAACUGGGACUAGGAGCCGGCAGAGACUGACACAGACAACUUAUACAGUUACCGACCACACCAGAACAAUGACCUUAACCGUGUGGGGGACAGUUCUGUGCUAAUAGUUGUAACAGAUGAAGAUGCUGCAGGGAUUGGAGAGGUCACUGAGAAACAGAAGAGCUUGUACUGGCAUCACAGAGUCCUGACCCCUUCCCAGUUACAGACCAUCAAGCAAGGGUUCUGUUGUGUUAUUUGUAUGAGUAGGUAUCCCAAUAGAUGGGAAUUGGCACACACUACACAAAAUGGGUCUAAAAUUAUUUUACAUGUGGGACAGAGUUUGAGAUUUCCGAAUACACAAGCAGUAUGUUAUUACAUUCUCUAACCAAAGUCAGCUGUGUCUCAUCCACUACAAUUAAUUACAUGUACUGAUGUAACCCUUUGUGUAACGGUCAGGAACUCUCCGUCACACACUGUAAGAAAAGAUACAACAUAUCUACUCAAUAAAAAUGAGGCAACAGAUUACA
ensembl:lncRNA